rnacentral:piRNA from 1 species
ACAAAAAAAACAAGAGCUCUGGA